GGGGCUGUAGUUCAAUGGCAGAACUUCUGCUUCCCAAGCAGAUAGCGCGGGUUCGAUUCCCGUCAGCCCCU
rfam:Microbacterium sp. SA39 RS85_contig000026, whole genome shotgun sequence.